rnacentral:rRNA from 1 species
GACAGAGGGUGCAAACGUUGUUCGGAAUUACUGGGCGUAAAGCGCGUGUAGGCUGCUUGGCAAGUCCGCUGUGAAAGCCCGGUGCUUAACGCCGGAGGGUCGGUGGAUACUGCCAGUCUUGAAGGUGCUAGGGGAAGAUGGAAUUACCGGUGUAGCGGUGAAAUGCGUAGAUAUCGGUAGGAACACCAGUGGCGAAGGCGGUCUUCUGGGCCAACACUGACGCUGAGGCGCGAAAGCUAGGGGAGCAAACAGG